CAGCAGCCGCGGUAAUACGUAGGGUGCAAGCGUUAAUCGGAAUUACUAGGCGUAAAGCGUGCGCAGGCGGUUUGUUAAGACAGAUGUGAAAUCCCCGGGCUCAACCUGGGAACUGCAUUUGUGACUGGCAAGCUAGAGUGUGGCAGAGGGGGGUGGAAUUCCGCGUGUAGCAGUGAAAUGCGUAGAUAUGCGGAGGAACACCGAUGGCGAAGGCAGCCCCCUGGGCCAACACUGACGCUCAUGCACGAAAGCGUGGGGAGCAAACAGGAUUAGAUACCCAGUAGUCCCUGUCUCUUAUACC
rnacentral:rRNA from 1 species